rnacentral:rRNA from 1 species
GACGAACGCUGGCGGCGUGCUUAACACAUGCAAGUCGAACGGGUCUGCCCUGUUUUUUGCGGGGUGGGUCAGUGGCGAACGGGUGAGUAACACGUGAGUAACCUGCCCCUCACUUCUGGAUAACCGCUUGAAAGGGUGGCUAAUACGGGGUGUUCUGGCUGUGCCGCAUGGUGUGGCUGGGAAAGAUUCACUUUUGUGGUGUUUUGGUGGGGGAUGGGCUCGCGGCCUAUCAGCUUGUUGGUGGGGUGAUGGCCUGCCAAGGCUUUGACGGGUAGCCGGCCUGGGAGGGUGGGCGGUCACACUGGGACUGAGCUACGGCCCAGACUCCUGCGGGAGGCAGCAGUGGGGGGUAUUGCACAAUGGGCGGAAGCCUGAUGCAGCGACGUCGCGUGAGGGAUGGAGGCCUUCGGGUUGUGAACCUCUUUCGCCGGUGAAGAAGGUCCUGCUCUUUGUGGUGGGGUUGACGGUAGCCGGGUUAUGAAGCGCCGGCUAACUACGUG